rnacentral:rRNA from 1 species
GACGAACGCUGGCGGCGUGCUUAACACAUGCAAGUCGAACGGAAAGGCCCUGCUUUUGUUGGGUGCUCGAGUGGCGAACGGGUGAGUAGCACGUGAGUAACCUGCCCUUGACUUUGGGAUAACUUCAGGAAACUGGGGCUAAUACCGGAUAGGUGCUCCUGCUGCAUGGUGGGGGUUGGAAAGUUUCGGCGGUUGGGGAUGGACUCGCGGCUUAUCAGCUUGUUGGUUGGGUAGUGGCUUACCAAGGCUUUGACGGGUAGCCGGCCUGAGAGGGUGACCGGCCACAUUGGGACUGAGAUACGGCCCAGACUCCUACGGGAGGCAGCAGUGGGGAAUAUUGCACAAUGGGCGGAAGCCUGAUGCAGCAACGCCGCGUGCGGGAUGACGGCCUUCGGGUUGUAAACCGCUUUCGCCUGUGACGAAGCGUGAGUGACGGUAAUGGGUAAAGAAGCACCGGCUAACUACGUG